rnacentral:rRNA from 1 species
CCUACGGGUGGCAGCAGUGAGGAAUAUUGGUCAAUGGGCGAGAGCCUGAACCAGCCACGUCGCGUGAGGGAGUACUGCCCUAUGGGUUGUAAACCUCUUUUGUCGGGGAGCAAAAGCCGGACGUGUCCGGCUGUGAGAGUACCCGAAGAAAAAGCAUCGGCUAACUCCGUGCCAGCAGCCGCGGUAAUACGGAGGAUGCGAGCGUUAUCCGGAUUUAUUGGGUUUAAAGGGUGCGCAGGCGGAUUUUUAAGUCAGCGGUAAAAUCGUGGGGCUCAACCCCAUCCAGCCGUUGAAACUGGGGAUCUAGAGUGUGCGAGAGGUAUGCGGAAUGCGUGGUGUAGCGGUGAAAUGCAUAGAUAUCACGCAGAACCCCGAUUGCGAAGGCAGCAUACCGGUGCACAACUGACGCUCAGGCACGAAAGCGUGGGUAUCGAACAGGAUUAGAUACCCCGGUAGUC